rnacentral:rRNA from 1 species
GACGAACGCUGGCGGCGUGCUUAACACAUGCAAGUCGAACGGAAAGGCCCUGCUUUUGUGGGGUGCUCGAGUGGCGAACGGGUGAGUAACACGUGAGUAACCUGCCCUUGACUUUGGGAUAACUUCAGGAAACUGGGGCUAAUACCGGAUAGGAGCUCCUGCUGCAUGGAGGGGGUGGGAAAGUUUCGGCGGUUGGGGAUGGACUCGCGGCUUAUGAGCUUGUUGGUGGGGUAGUGGCUUACCAAGGCUUUGACGGGUAGCCGGCCUGAGAGGGUGACCGGCCACAUUGGGACUGAGAUACGGCCCAGACUCCUACGGGAGGCAGCAGUGGGGAAUAUUGCACAAUGGGCGGAAGCCUGAUGCAGCAACGCCGCGUGCGGGAUGACGGCCUUCGGGUUGUAAACCGCUUUCGCCUGUGACGAAGCGUGAGUGACGGUAAUGGGUAAAGAAGCACCGGCUAACUACGUG